CGAAAAUUCUCAUAGAUGUUGGUAGCGAGGGGCAAGAUGUUGCAAAUUAUAAAUACUAUCACGACGCAGAGCAACAUGACCGCCAAGCCAAUUUCACGUCGCUGAUGUCGCGACAGAUGCUGUAGAUCCCGAUUGGCUUUUCUGACCUGAUCGCUACUGAAUUCUUCGUUCUCUAAGGAUGAUCGGUAACCUCACACAGCCUCGAAUGGGACUCUUGAACAGACUUGGAAUCUGGUGUUGGGAACACGUGUUGAAAUGAAAAUGUACACACUGCAUUCGGCAACAAGAUGUACGUUCUGGUACAACGAGACAACGCGGGAAAUUGAAUGGCUUCCUUGAUCUGUUGGCUGCGUAAAAAAUAGCGAUUGCUCUCCUGUGAAUUGGUCGACGUGGUUCUCCUGUCGGAGCUCGGUAUUAUUUUAGUGCGUUGGGACGCCUUCGCGGCAGAUGAGUGGAAAUAGGUUUGUGCGAGAGGUGAAAAAGAAAAAGAGAAGAAAAAUGCGCGAGAGAGAGAGAGAGAGAGAGAGAGAGAGGAGAACAGACGACACACUGAGAACAAGAGAACUGAAUGAGUAAGCAACGUGAAGAGAAGAAAGCAAAAGAGCAAAGAGUAAUAUUAUACAUAUAUAUAACCGUUACUCCCACACGGGGUGUAAUGCGUAUAUGGUAGAUGUCAUUUUCUCCUUUCUUCUUUUCUUUUUUCUCUUUUUCUCAAUCCACGACUUCACCGUUUUACGAGGCAAUGAAAGCACGUUCCCUUGUGCGAUUAGCAUUGGGCUUUUUCUCGUACUUAAAAUUUUAUGGACGCCCACCGACGCCCGGCGUCGGCAUUAAUUUACCGUCCGUAUACCACUUUUCUACUACGUACUCACCGAUUUCUACUUUUUACAUACUUCGAAUCUUUUUACAUGCUCUCUCUCUCUCUCUCUCUCUCUCUCUCUCUCUCUCUCUCUAUCUAUCUCUCUUACUUUUCUAACCUCUUUCCGCUUUGCUUACUUUUCCAUUGCGUCUCUUAUCACCGAGAUUUACCGCGUUGCCAAAUGUCCACUUUGAGAAACUGAAAUUGCAAUCGAGCACGUGCAAUUUAUCAGAUGUAAAUGGCAGAAGGGAAACUGGUCUGCUUGGAUAAACGAAAAGAAAUUGUACGUCCCAGCUGCUACACUCUUUCUGUUACUGUGCUUUAUGUGGAUAUCUAUAUUACUUUAUAUAUACUGUGAAUACAUAUGCGAAAUAUUAUACGUACGAAUUAAGUAGAUACUAUAUGUACACUCUUGUAUUUUUAUAUUGUUUUUGUGUAGAUAUAUGUGUAUAUGUAUUCAUUGUGGGUAUAAACAAGUGACGCAUAUUUAAGUCAUUAUUCUUUUGAAAAAGCAAUAGAUAGGAACGCCGUAAGAUAGUGAAGGGUGAAAUUUCUGUCUGACGAAAGGGUUCACGAUAAAGAUAAGAUAUUGGUAAAGGGAGACGCAGUUAUAUUGAACAGUUAUCGGAUAUAAGUGUUUUCCAUCUUCUGAUAUGUGGUGCCGGUGUAGAUAGAAAUGGCAGGAGAAAGUGUAGGAAUAAAAAUGCAUAUUAAUUUUGGGGAGAAAGUUCGUUUUUAAUAUGCAGUUUUUUGUACCUGGUAUGAAAAUUCUUGUUUAGUAUUUCGAUAAACAUUUAUGCUACUCUGUAAAAAUAACAAGUCUAUUGUAAGCUGAGGUUAGGUUAGCUACUUGGACCAUAAUGCUCGCAUCGAGACUGUCUGAGCAAAGUAUUCCAUUUGCCUUUUUCACUUUCGUAUGUGGGUCAUACGCUGGGUUUGAGACGAGGAGGCAGAAGAGAUUUCCUUAUUUAUUUUUCAUAGAAUAAACCAAGCGUUACUUGACUUGAUAAUUGAGGCCAGAGGGGUGAAGGGAGAGGAAGAGGAGAAAAAUAUGAAGAAAAAAAAGUAAUUGAGUGCAUGCAUUGUUACUGUGACGUAACGUGACCUCGGGAUGUUUUAUCAGGGGCCACAAACUUAUGGGAAUCAAUGUAAAUGAGUCACCUGAUAUGGGGAGGAUGGAAAAAGAAAACUAAUCAAAGUUACAAAAAGAAAAUGAAAAUUGUAUUACAAGUGGUUUUUCUUUUUGGAUUUAAAAAAAUUGUAUUUAUCAACUGUAAUUAUAGGAA